GAACGCUGGCGGCGUGCCUAACACAUGCAAGUCGAGCGGAGAUUGCAGCAAUGUAAUCUUAGCGGCGGACGGGUGAGUAACGCGUGGAUAAUCUGCCUAUAACUGGGGGAUAACACAGGGAAACUUGUGCUAAUACCGCAUAACAUCAUGGAAGGACAUCCUUUUAUGAUCAAAGGAGCAAUCCGGUGAGAGAUGGGCCCGCGUCCAAUUAGCCAGUUGGUGGGGUAAUGGCCUACCAAAGCAACGAUGGGUAGCCGGCCUGAGAGGGUGACCGGCCACACUGGAACUGAGAUACGGUCCAGACUCCUACGGGAGGCAGCAGUGGGGAAUAUUGCGCAAUGGGGGAAACCCUGACGCAGCAACGCCGCGUGAAGGAUGAAGGUUUUCGGAUUGUAAACUUCUUUGAUUGGGGACGAAUAAUGACGGUACCCAAAAAACAAGCCACGGCUAACUACGUGCCAGCAGCCGCGGUAAUACGUAGGUGGCGAGCGUUGUCCGGAAUUACUGGGUGUAAAGGGCGUGUAGGCGGGGAAGCAAGUCAGAUGUGAAAUCCCAUGGCUUAACUGUGGGGCUGCAUCUGAAACUGCAUCUCUUGAGUACUGGAGAGGAAAGCGGAAUUCCUAGUGUAGCGGUGAAAUGCGUAGAUAUUAGGAGGAACACCAGUGGCGAAGGCGACUUCCUGGCUUGUAACUGACACUGAGGCGCGAAAGCGUGGGGAUCAAACAGGAUUAGAUACCCUGGUAGUCCACGCCGUAAACGAUGAGUGCUAGGUGUCGGGGGUAUCGACCCCCUCGGUGCCACAGCUAACGCAAUAAGCACUCCGCCUGGGGAGUACGGUCGCAAGACUGAAACUCAAAGGAAUUGACGGGGCCCGCACAAGCGGUGGAGUAUGUGGUUUAAUUCGACGCAACGCGAAGAACCUUACCAAGGCUUCCUGUGACAGCUAUAGAAAUUAUAGACUUCUUAGUUUACUAAGACACAGAGACAGGUGGUGCAUGGUUGUCGUCAGCUCGUGUCGUGAGAUGUUGGGUUAAGUCCCGCAACGAGCGCAACCCCUAUUGCUAGUUGCCAUCAUUAAGUUGGGCACUCUAGCGAGACUGCCGGUGACAAAUCGGAGGAAGGUGGGGAUGACGUCAAAUCAUCAUGCCCCUUAUGUCCUGGGCUACACACGUACUACAAUGGCUAUAACAGCAGGAAGCGAAGGAGUAAUCCGGAGCAAAUCCUCAAAAAUAGUCCCAGUUCAGAUUGUGGGCUGCAACCCGCCCACAUGAAGUCGGAAUUGCUAGUAAUGGCAGGUCAGCAUACUGCCGUGAAUACGUUCCCGGGCCUUGUACACACCGCCCGUCACACCAUGAGAGUCUGCAACACCCGAAGUCAGUAGUUUAAC
rnacentral:rRNA from 1 species